UGAGAUUUUUCUAUUUUAUUUAUUUAUUUAUUUAAUUAAUUUUCUUUUUUUAAUUUUUUUAUUUUAUUUUAUUUUAUUUUAUUUUUGUUUUUUUUGUUUUUUUUCGAAACGCGUGGGCUUCGCCUAGCGAGCAUGACAGUUCAUGAACAAACUUUUGCUCCUUCAAGAUUAACGUUUUGACUGACGAAUAGACCCCUUUUGGAAGUAACUCAAGUCUUUCCCUUGUGUUGAC
rnacentral:lncRNA from 1 species